GUGUCAGCAGCCGCGGUAAUACAGAGGUGGCAAGCGUUGUUCGGAAUUACUGGGCGUAAAGGGCGCGUAGGCGGUUCGCUAAGUCCCGCGUGAAAUCCCCCGGCUCAACCGGGGAACUGCGCGGGAAACUGGUGGGCUUGAGUUCGGGAGAGGGAAGCGGAAUUCCGGGUGUAGCGGUGAAAUGCGUAGAUAUCCGGAGGAACACCGGUGGCGAAGGCGGCUUCCUGGACCGACACUGACGCUGAGGCGCGAAAGCUAGGGGAGCAAACGGGAUUAGAUACCCUGGUAGUCC
rnacentral:rRNA from 1 species